rnacentral:lncRNA from 1 species
AAUAAUAAAAUUAUUUAUCAUCAAAUCCUCUCUCCCAAAUUUACUCAAGUGAACAAGACUGUUGAAAUGCUUUUAUGUCGCGCUAAAAGUCAACAAAAUCUUGUCCCCCUAAUGUAGUAUAGGGCUGACCAAGAGUCAAUCCAAAGACUCAGCAAACUUAAGAUUAAAGUGUGGAGUUAUAUCUUGUUAUUUUUUUAUUAACUAUCUACUAAUGCAAGGGGGACAUUUAAAAUGAAUAAAACUGAAAUUAAAAAGAAAAGAGAAAUAAGAAAUCAAAUCUGUUUAAAAAGUAUAUAAGGCAAGAACAAAUAAGGAGAUAAAAUCUAAACUAAAGUAAGGAAAAGAUAUAAAAUCUAACUAAACAUACAAGUCAUACAGUACCUAAAUUCUAAAACUGGAACAAUCAAAAACAUGUAUUCACAGAUGUAAAAAUUACGAAGCAAAUGCAAACUAACAUGAAAAAUAUAAGAUGUAACAAUGAAAGAAUGAAUCUAAUCUGAACAGUGAAGGAACAAUGUUAGGAAUUGAAAAAUUAAAGUGGACUGAACCUUGAUUGAAAGACCUAAAAUCUAAGAAAUUAAAGUCUAAAUUCUAACGAAAUCGAAAUAUGAAGAACAAGAUAGAAAUUCUAACAUCACAAUCAACACUUACUGUUUAUUCUAAAAUAUGUGAAAAUUCUAACUCCAAGAAAUGAUAGAAACUAAAACAAUAUUUUCUCUUGUUGAACUCACUCUGACUCGAGAAGACAUCUCGGUCAAACACGCUCACUAUGGAGUCGUUUAAUUCCAGAAAGGAAUUACAAUGUCAGAGUUUCACCGUUCAACUUAUUUACAAUCAAAAACAAGAAAGAUCAUUCACAUAAUAGAACAAGAACACAAUUCAAGGAAAAUUAAACACAACGAAAAUAUCACCGUCUCAACACAGAGGAACAUUACAGAAAUUUAUUAACAAGAACAAGAUUACAAGAAUGUACCGAAGAGGAACAAGCAAGAACACGAGAACUGGAAUCUACCGGAAACGAUAAAACCCUAGACUCUCGCGUCGCUCUCUAAAACGUAAAAAUCAGAAAAAUGAAUGUGACCCCCUCUCAAUAUCUCAGUGUAUCGUCCCCCUUAUUACAUGAAAACAAUCCCCUUAUAUAGGGUAAAAAUCCAAAACAUAAAAAGAAAGAAAAGGGAACAAGACCUUCAUCAUAUCUUCUCUUCAUCCAACGGCCCCUUCUUCAAUUUGCUUCUCAACCCUCCGAUCAUCUUGCUAUCUUUGUUGGUUUGGACUCCACACGUGCCUCGAGCUCAUCUUCCUCGAGCUUCUGAUCCGAUUAAGUGGCACGAGCCCUAGCUCCCAGGUGCUAUCUCCUUUUCUCGUUUCUUCUUUAGUCAAUCUCUCUGAACCUUUUUCAAAAUGAAAGUGAAGAAAUGAACCUUCUCUCUGCAGCCAAACCCACUCCAAAACGCACCGUUCCACUAAAGGUACCCAAAACAGCAGCAUCCAAUCACCGCAGUGUCUAAUGUCCAACGCAGUUUUCAAAUCAGCCCAAUGCACGACCCACAUCAAAUCUUCAGAUCAGCUUAUUAAUUGGACUUCAGCCCAUUAUGUGCAGCAAAUCUCAUCCAGUUACCAGCCU